UACUAUUCAUUAUUUCACACAGUGACAAAUGUUCAUCUUUCCCGAUCCCCUUUCUCCUUAUUCUCUAAGCUCACCAAAUGUUCAUCUUUCCUGAUCUCCUUUGUACAAGAUUCGUUCCACCCGAGCGCUGCGGAUUUAAUUCCCAACACCACCUCAGUUUCUCCUCUUGAUUCCUUGCCGCGACCUUGCUCGUACACACCUGCACGCACCUCUGCAGCUCGGCUGACUGUCGCGGCGACGGGGUGGCCAUCUCGUGCGCCUGAUUUGGCUCCCUGUACGCCUCCUCGAUCUGCCAAGUCGGUCGACGGCGAUGUAGGGUUAGCAGGGCUCGAUGAGAAGCUACACAAUGGAGAAGGCUAGCUUGUCGAUCUUGACAGUGCCGCUGCCGUCGACGUCCUUGGUGGCGACGUGGGCGUGGAUCUCGUCUCCCAUAUCCUGCUCGAAUCCACCUCGAUUGUGAGGAUGCUGGUGGUGUUGUAUUCCAUCGCAUCGUGGACGUCCCGGAGCGAGGCGCCCGGGCAGGUCAUCUUCAUCCUCGACAGUGGAAGCCUGACUUCGGCGGCUCAUUCUUCACCUGCAGGUUCAUAGGUGCAUAACUGCACUGUGCAUGGUUCGUCUUUACCUUCAGAUGGUACUUACUUGAGACUCGCUCGAUGGACCGAUGGCACAAUUGAGGAUAUUCGGGCACUUGCUUGUGAGAGUUAUUUUUCUUCUUUGCUAGAAAGCCAUCAUUGCCGUGUAUAUUUAUUUGGAGUAAUAGCUACAUCAUCUGCAAAAAUGACAAGUAAAAAGCUGGAGGGUUGCAUGCGAUGGGUACAAAUCUAAUCUAUCAUGGGUUUUGUU